ACUUCACCAGAAUCUCCCAUAGUGCAGCAGCUGACUUCCUGCGUACAAAUCCCAAUCUUGUACUUACGUUGAGGGAAGUGGGACGUUAUCCAGCCUACAAGGAACUAUUUGCAGAGUACACGUGGAGUGACCGAGCUCAUCGGAACUCAGGUUGGGCAGUCCAUUCCUAUAGUCGUCACUUUUGAUAGGUAGAGUAGCCAUGUUUGACAGCCCUAUAUCGAGUAGACACAGCACCUUGCACAUCCGCACCACGCCACAAUACGCUACACCUUUACCCUUCAACAGAAGUGUUGACCAUGUUCCGUCGACCAUCUACCUGCCCAG